rnacentral:misc_RNA from 1 species
GGUAUGACUGUAUGACAGACUGCUAACAAACGGAAGAACUUCUGUAUUACAUCUGAAUGAGGCUCAAAAAGCCAACUCGCAUUCAUGAUUCUUUCGUCUUCAAAAUUGAAACCUUUAACGGUGGACUUCCUAGAAGUAACAACACCAUCCUCACCAUGAUCAUUACUUUUUGCCAUCAAUGGAGAUCCAUUCCUCUUAGCCAUGGCCUUUUCAACUUCUGUAAUACCACGUCCAUAAGCAGUACCAGCCACGGAGCACUUGACAAACUCCAUUGAAUUACAAGUCAGUGUGCCA